AUCAUUCUCUAUUUAUAGUCCUUGACAACCAAUAUUUA
rnacentral:sRNA from 1 species